rnacentral:rRNA from 1 species
UCGCGUGAGGGAUGAAGGCCUUCGGGUUGUAAACCUCGGAAAUUAUCGAAGAAUGAGUGACAGUAGAUAAUGUAAGCCUCGGCUAACUACGUGCCAGCAGCCGCGGUAAUACGUAGGAGGCAAACGUUGCUCGGAUUUACUGGGCGUAAAGGGUGAGUAGGCGGACUUAUAAGUCUAAGGUGAAAGACCGAAGCUCAACUUCGGAAACGCCUCGGAUACUGUAAGUCUUGGAUAUUGUAGGGGAUGAUGGAAUUCUCGGUGUAGCGGUGGAAUGCGCAGAUAUCGAGAGGAACACCUAUAGCGAAGGCAGUCAUCUGGGCAUUUAUCGACGCUGAAUCACGAAAGCUAGGGGAGCAAACAGGCUUAGAUACCCUGGUAGUCCUAGCCGUAAACGUUGUACACUAGGUGCUUCUAUUUAAAUAGGAGUGCCGUAGCUAACGUCUUAAGUGUACCGCCUGAGGAGUAUGCCCGCAAGGGUGAAACUCAAAGAAAUUGACGGGUCCCCGCACAAGUGGUGGAGCAUGUGGUUUAAUUCGAUGAUACGCGAAAAACCUUACCUGGGUUUGAAUUGUAAGAUGAAUGAUUUAGAGAUAAGUCAGACCGCAAGGACGUUUUACAUAGGUGCUGCAUGGCUGUCGUCAGCUCGUGUCGUGAGAUGUUGGGUUAAGUCCCGCAACGAGCGCAACCCUCACCCUUUGUUGCUACCGAGUAAUGUCGGGCACUCUUAGGGGACUGCCUACGUUCAAGUAGGAGGAAGGUGGGGAUGAUGUCAAGUCCUCAUGGCCCUUAUGUCCAGGGCUACACACGUGCUACAAUGGCAAGUACAAAGAGAAGCAAGACCGCGAGGUGGAGCAAAACUCAAAAAAGUUGCCUCAGUUCGGAUUGGAGUCUGAAACUCGACUCCAUGAAGUUGGAAUCACUAGUAAUCGUAGAUCAGAACGCUACGGUGAAUACGUUCCCGGGGAUUGUACACACCGCCCGUC